AGUACUUAUUUCAACUUCAAGUCAAAAGUUAAGAUUCAUUAAGAAAGAAGAAGAAAACAUGAUGAGUUUAUAGAAUAUUAUAAAAUGUCAAAGUAACUGUCAUUAUGCAAUCAAUCAAUUUCAACCAAGAAAAUCAGUUUUUAAUUAGGCAUAAACUCCUAGAUUCAGUAUUGAACAUACAUAACAUAUGUAUUAAUACUUUCUCCCUCAUUUUACAGUAAGCCUUACAACAUGAAUCAAUAUUUUUAUGAUAUCUAAUAAAAUGGAAAUGAACUUAGCAAUUUGCAUAUGAACAUGAUGAAUUAUAUUCUUUUUAUAAUGAAAUAAAUUGUAAAUGUAAACUUA